AAAAGGACAGGCUGUGGCCCGAGAGCCACAGAUGUCCCUCAGUUAAUUUUUGUGCAAGUAAAGAAAGAUUAGAAGAAGAAAGGAACAAAAAAAACUGAAGGAAAAGGUGCAUCUUGAUGACAGCCAGUCUCUGUGGCCGGCAUCUGGAGUGUUGAGACUGACUUUCAAGCUUUCAUUUUUGAGAUUACUUUCAAGAUGACAUCAAAACAACAUGACAAC